ACCUUGUUGAAAUCUCACUAAUAAAUUGUGAAAGAUGCGAUCUAACCUUUAGGGAAAUUACGCUUCCUUGUGGUCCUUACUAUUUAUAGAAUGGGUGCUUUGAAGUAAAUUGACAGCAACUUCUAUAGAGAUAUGGAAAGUUCUUUUCCAUCACUCAAGGUUCUUGAAAUACGUUGGGCACCAUGUUUGGAGAAAUGAACAGCAGUGAAUGUUAGAGAACAUUUUCCUAUCUUAAGUUCAUUAAUUAUCGAAGAUUGUCCUAAGUUGGUUAAGCUGCCAAUGCUUCAAUCUCUAAAAAAGCUAAAUGUUGAAAGAAUUAAUGUUGCAUUACUCAAAUCUUUGAUGUUGAAUUCCAAUAAUCUUACAGUUAACUCGAUGUGAUAGCCUUUUAUCUCUUCCGGUAAAUGGAUUGCAAGGCUUAUCUUCCUUGUCUUCACUGACGAUUCAUCAUUGUAAGAAAUUAGCCUCUUUAUCUGAAGGGGUGUGAUAUUUGACUUCACUCCUAGACUUGGUUAUUGAUGAUUGUCCAACAUCUCUCUUCUCUUCAAUCUCUGUGUAUUUCGAGUUAUGAGAGAUUAAUUUCUCUUUCAAAUGAGAUACAACACCUCACCUUGCUUUCAAAAUUGGAGAUUAAGGAUUACUCUAGUUUUAUGUCAUUUCCUUGGGGGAUACAAAGCCUCACGACACUGGAAAUGCUGAGCAUUGCAGGGUGUCCACAUCUGGAAAGGCGGUGCCAGAAAGAGAGAGGAGAGGAUUGGCCCAACAUAUCGCACAUUCCAUCCAUUUGAAUCGGUAACUAGGAUCGAUGGUUGAACAUGCUGUCUUCCAGUAAAGUUUUGAAAGCUCAAUUCUGCUAUUUUAAAAGAAGCACAUUGCAGUAAGUUGAGAUAGCACUUUGUAUCCCAAAAGAGCAGAAUACUCUAUUCAUGGAUUUCUUUAAACAAUCUUGAUGGUAAGCCAAAGCUGAGUGAGUAGCAGGAAGUUCCAACAAUGUUCAUUCAAAAAGAUGAUAUCAAGCUUUUGGUACUGUAUUAGAUGCACUAUCAGAAUCCAGCAACUUAAUGUGUUUCUCUUUGCCCUUGCAAAUAACAAUUAUAUUGUUUCAUUUAGAUGGAUGACUUAUUUUGAGCUAUAUAAGUUCAGUUUUAUUUUAAUAA